UGGGGAAUAUUGGACAAUGGGCGAAAGCCUGAUCCAGCCAUGCCGCGUGUGUGAAGAAGGUCUUCGGAUUGUAAAGCACUUUAAGUUGGGAGGAAGGGCAGUAACUUAAUACGUUGCUGUUUUGACGUUACCGACAGAAUAAGCACCGGCUAACUCUGUGCCAGCAGCCGCGGUAAUACAGAGGGUGCAAGCGUUAAUCGGAAUUACUGGGCGUAAAGCGCGCGUAGGUGGUUUGUUAAGUUGGAUGUGAAAUCCCCGGGCUCAACCUUGGAACUGCAUUCAAAACUGACAAGCUAGAGUAUGGUAGAGGGUGGUGGAAUUUCCUGUGUAGCGGUGAAAUGCGUAGAUAUAGGAAGGAACACCAGUGGCGAAGGCGACCACCUGGACUGAUACUGACACUGAGGUGCGAAAGCGUGGGGAGCAAACA
rnacentral:rRNA from 1 species